rnacentral:rRNA from 1 species
UACGUAGGGUCCGAGCGUUGUCCGGAAUUAUUGGGCGUAAAGAGCUCGUAGGCGGUUUGUCGCGUCUGCUGUGAAAUCCCGAGGCUCAACCUCGGGUCUGCAGUGGGUACGGGCAGACUAGAGUGCGGUAGGGGAGAUUGGAAUUCCUGGUGUAGCGGUGGAAUGCGCAGAUAUCAGGAGGAACACCGAUGGCGAAGGCAGAUCUCUGGGCCGUAACUGACGCUGAGGAGCGAAAGCAUGGGGAGCGAACAGG